rnacentral:misc_RNA from 1 species
UGACUAUCAAAUAAUCACUCAAACAACGCGGAAGAGUCAUAAAAAUUUAAUGAAAUCUUACAGAAUUUGCUGAAAUAAGCGAAUGGCACCAAGAUGCGAAAACUAAGCAGGAAAUACGAGCAGAAUUGCUAUUUGCAAAAUACUGCAGGCGAUUGUGGGGGAAAUCUCAGGAACCCUUUACACCUCAAAUCAGCAGAUAGUGAUGAUGAUUGCAAUUUCCCUUCAAGUAUUCUUAUGUACCUUGCCUUAAUGCCUAGCCCAUCUUAUGGCUGACCUGGCCAAUGCAUCCAUGGGGUCUAUACAUUUUUUCAGAAGAGGUUCAUCGUGAGGCAGAAGACCCUGAAGUUCAUCAGAAGCAAGAAUUACUACGUUCACUGCCCUCACCAAAAGAAUCUGGAUUGCUAUUCUUAAGAGAUUUCUUGCCCCUUCCAUGUCUCUUCUACUCAGUGCUUCAACUGCAGGAAUUAGAAUGUGAUCCAUGGUUGCCCUGUCUGGCAACACAACCUCAAAUCCCUGAUUCUGCAGUUUUUCCUGAUAAAAGCCAGCAGUUAAAAUUGAAUUUGAAGCAAGCAUCCCAAUUCUCACAUUACUCCCAGCUUCGAGUGGCUUCAACUUAGCUUCCUUGAGCUCACUAGCAACACAAUCACCUACAUGAAAAAAUGGCAGCAAACAGUCCUCAGAUAUCUUAUCAUACCACGCAUGUGAAACAUGGCAUGGCAUAACUAGGCAACGAGCACCAGACUGCUCAAGAAAUUUCCUUUUACGCUGCAAAUUCUCAAUGAACACGCCAACAUUUGAUUCGAUCCGAGCAUUUCUGCUGGUAAAUGACUGUGAUGGGAGCACUCUAGCUAUUGAAGGAUCGCUGCACACAACAAAAGGAAUACAUUCCUCUCCGUCUCUUGAGCUCCACCAGACAAGCUUUUCUAGGAAAAUAAGAGUAGGUAAAACAGAUACACCUCCAAUGAUGCCAACUGUAUUUGCCUGUUUAAGCAGGGAAUUGGGGUUCUGAUAUCGUUUUGGAGCAGUACCUGAACCUGAAAUCUUCUUGGAUUGUGGCGAAUUUUUACUCUCAUCAAUUUGUACGAGAACUGAUAAAAAGUGUACAUCCACAGGUGGAUUUGAUCUUGCUCUAUAGUGAGUCCUAUUCUUUUGUAAAUUACCUGCAAGAACUGAUGAAUAAUUUAAUUUGUGGAACGUCAAUGCCAUUCCUCCAUCAAACAUCCCUAAACCCAGAUCAAUUCUUUCCCCAGGAUCCUGCUAUGCGGGGGAGACAGAACAGACCUACACCAUAAGGCUAAAUACCUGGAAAAUCCUUUGAACCUUAGAACUAAAAGUCACAAUUUAACAGAACUAAACCAUUUAUAGGCUAGUUUCAAAUAUUAAAGUUGCAGAAUCAAAACCCUCCUAUUCAACUUUAACCCUAUGAAUCAAACAAGAGAACCAACAUGGAUAUCUUAUCAGAAGCAUGAGGGGUGAUGUUAAAGGCUAGCAAGGACAAGAUUUCUCCCCACUGUGGGUGGCCUUUUCAAGUAUGCAUUUAUGAUAUUGAAUGAACAAUGAUGAGAAGGAAUAGGGAAUCAAAAU